GAACCAUGAUUGUUAUUCUACUGCUUAGUUUAGGCAUGGUGAAAGAAAGAAAUGUCAGUUUCAUCAUUUGUGUUAUAAAAGAUAAAGGUCAGUGUGUCAAGAAUUAUACUCAUUUUACACAACAUAGUUUUAAUCCAAUUAAAUAUUUCACAGUCCUUUU